GACGAACGCUGGCGGCGUGCCUAAUACAUGCAAGUUGAGCGAUGAAGAUUGGUGCUUGCACCAAUUUGAAGAGCAGCGAACGGGUGAGUAACGCGUGGGGAAUCUGCCUUUGAGCGGGGGACAACAUUUGGAAACGAAUGCUAAUACCGCAUAACAACUUUAAACAUAAGUCUUAAGUUUGAAAGAUGCAAUUGCAUCACUCAAAGAUGAUCCCGCGUUGUAUUAGCUAGUUGGUGAGGUAAAGGCUCACCAAGGCGAUGAUACAUAGCCGACCUGAGAGGGUGAGCGGCCACAUUGGGACUGAGACACGGCCCAAACUCAUACGGGAGGCAGCAGUAGGGAAUCUUCGGCAAUGGACGAAAGUCUGACCGAGCAACGCCGCGUGAGUGAAGAAGGUUUUCGGAUCGUAAAACUCUGUUGGUAGAGAAGAACGUUGGUGAGAGUGGAAAGCUCAUCAAGUGACGGUAACGAACCAGAAAGGGACGGCUAACUACGUG
rnacentral:rRNA from 1 species